rnacentral:rRNA from 1 species
GAUGAACGCUGGCGGCGUGCCUAAUACAUGCAAGUCUAGCGAACAGAUAAGGAGCUUGCUCCUUUGACGUUAGCGGCGGACGGGUGAGUAACACGUGGGUAACCUACCUAUAAGACUGGAAUAACUCCGGGAAACCGGGGCUAAUGCCGGAUAACAUUUAGAACCGCAUGGUUCUAAAGUGAAAGAUGGUUUUGCUAUCACUUAUAGAUGGACCCGCGCCGUAUUAGCUAGUUGGUAAGGUAACGGCUUACCAAGGCAACGAUACGUAGCCGACCUGAGAGGGUGAUCGGCCACACUGGAACUGAGACACGGUCCAGACUCCUACGGGAGGCAGCAGUAGGGAAUCUGCCGCAAUGGGCGAAAGCCUGACGGAGCAACGCCGCGUGAGUGAUGAAGGUCUUCGGAUCGUAAAACUCCGUUAUUAGGGAAGAACAAAUGUGUAAGUAACUGUGCACGUCUUGACGGUACCUAAUCAGAAAGCCACGGCUAACUACGUG